AAGAAGGGUCAGACCACCACCAGGGACAUAAAACUACCCCUGGAAAUGCCCAAAACUCCUACGAAAGCCUUGUCCUAUAUGUGCUUGGGCGGGGAAAUGUUUAACAAGAACAUGAACUCCCUCCCUCAGCCAGCCCGCAGCCUCAACCCUUCCGAGAGCUCAGUGCCGCGUGAACCGUGAUUGAGGGUGGAUGUUUCGCUCCACCUCCAAAGCCUUCCCGCCUGGGCUAUCGUUCCCGUAUAAGGAGUUUCCACAGUAAAGCGAUUCAUGCGGAGUGCUGGAGGUGUGCUGAGGGGCUGCUGAGUGUGCUGAUGCUUGGCUUGGUUAAUAGUGUGAGGACAAAGAAAGGACAAGGCAGCGCGGAAGGGUCCCUGAUAUCCCGCGGGAACUCGUCGAGGUCAGCGGGGAGUGAAGAGACAAACACAAACACGCGCACCGCCGCCUGAAGCUUGUGUUGGCAGGCCGGUGAGGAGCCAGAGCCGCCCGCCUGCCACAUGUCCUGCCGAAUUAGUCACCGGAACAACACGACCUCGGCCCAAGAGAAAGUGUGAGUCUACGCUACGCUUUACAGAGGCGAGUAGAAUAUAUGUUGUUUCGUUUACACUUGUAGAGGUAUUUUCAACACUUGGCUGUCACCCUAGAGAACAUGAAUAAGGAACGUACAUGAGAGUCAACUAGGAGCAUAACGCUUUACAGAGAGAGAAAGUGGGAGAAAAAGAAAGGAAAACGAGAGGAAAAAGAGGAGAAACAGGAAAGGGAGAAGAGAAAGA